GCGUAAUUCAUUGUAUUCGCUCGUGACUGAACGCGCGUCUUUAUUUCAUACAGGCUCCUAUGUAAUGUAUAAAAUGAUUAGGGUCCAGAUUUAUAUGCAUUUGUAUGUUUUUUUUUAGACAGUCUAAAAAGUAGUUAAAUAAGCUUCAAGUUUGAAUUAAGGUCAACAGAAUUGAAAUACAACAUUUUAUUUUGCAUAUUUUACUAUUUUUUAACAUGUAAUGCAUAUUUCUUCA